rnacentral:rRNA from 1 species
GACGAACGCUGGCGGCGUGCCUAAUACAUGCAAGUUGAGCGCUGAAGGUUGGUACUUGUACCAACUGGAUGAGCAGCGAACGGGUGAGUAACGCGUGGGGAAUCUGCCUUUGAGCGGGGGACAACAUUUGGAAACGAAUGCUAAUACCGCAUAAAAACUUUAAACACAAGUUUUAAGUUUGAAAGAUGCAAUUGCAUCACUCAAAGAUGAUCCCGCGUUGUAUUAGCUAGUUGGUGAGGUAAAGGCUCACCAAGGCGAUGAUACAUAGCCGACCUGAGAGGGUGAUCGGCCACAUUGGGACUGAGACACGGCCCAAACUCCUACGGGAGGCAGCAGUAGGGAAUCUUCGGCAAUGGACGAAAGUCUGACCGAGCAACGCCGCGUGAGUGAAGAAGGUUUUCGGAUCGUAAAACUCUGUUGGUGGAGAAGAACGUUGGUGAGAGUGGAAAGCUCAUCAAGUGACGGUAACUACCCAGAAAGGGACGGCUAACUACGUG